rnacentral:tRNA from 1 species
UCCCCGUUGGUGUAAUCGGCAACACAGCUGGUUUUGGUCCAGUCAUUCGAGGUUCGAGUCCUCGGCGGGGAGCCA